AGAGUUUGAUUAUGGCUCAGGAUGAACGCUAGCUACAGGCUUAACACAUGCAAGUCGAGGGGCAUCAUGGAGUCAGCUUGCUGACUUUGAUGGCGACCGGCGCACGGGUGCGUAACACGUAUCCAAUCUGCCCGUUACUCGGGGAUAGCCUUUCGAAAGAAAGAUUAAUACCCGAUGUUUUCCGUAUGCCGCAUGACUUACGGAACAAAGAUUCAUCGGUAACGGAUGAGGAUGCGUCCGAUUAGCUUGUUGGCGGGGUAACGGCCCACCAAGGCGACGAUCGGUAGGGGCUCUGAGAGGAGGAUCCCCCACAUUGGAACUGAGACACGGUCCAAACUCCUACGGGAGGCAGCAGUGAGGAAUAUUGGUCAAUGGGCGAGAGCCUGAACCAGCCAAGUAGCGUGAGGGACGACUGCCCUAUGGGUUGUAAACCUCUUUUGUUUGGGAAUAAAGUGGGCCACGCGUGGCCUUUUGUAUGUACCUUACGAAUAAGCAUCGGCUAAUUCCGUGCCAGCAGCCGC
rnacentral:rRNA from 1 species